GGCCUACCAUGGUGGUAACGGGUAACGGGGUGUUAGGGCACGACACCGGAGAGGGAGCCUGAGAAACGGCUACCACAUCCAAGGAUGGCAGCAGGCGCGCAAAUUACCCAAUCCCGACACGGGGAGGUAGUGACAAUAAAUAACAAUACGGGGUUCUUUCGGAUCUCGUAAUUGGAAUGAGUACAAUUUAAAUCUCUUAACGAGGAACAAUUGGAGGGCAAGUCUGGUGCCAGCAGCCGCGGUAAUUCCAGCUCCAAUAGCGUAUAUUAAAGUUGUUGCAGUUAAGAAGCUCGUAGUUGAAUUUCGGGACCAAUUUGUUGGUCGUGCCUCGGUACGUACUGGUAUUAUUGGUUUCUCCCUUCUGAAGAACCUCGAUGUCAUUAAUUUGGUGUCGUGGGGAAUCAGGACUGUUACUUUGAAAAAAUUAGAGUGUUUAAAGCAGGCAUACGCUUGAAUACAUUAGCAUGGAAUAAUGAAAUAGGACGUUUGAUUCUAUUUUGUUGGUUUCUAGGAUCGACGUAAUGAUUAAUAGGGAUAGUUGGGGGCAUUAGUAUUCAAUUGUCAGAGGUGAAAUUCUUGGAUUUAUUGAAGACUAACUACUGCGAAAGCAUUUGCCAAGGAUGUUUUCAUUAAUCAAGAACGAAAGUUAGGGGAUCGAAGACGAUCAGAUACCGUCGUAGUCUUAACCAUAAACUAUGCCGACUAGGGAUCGGAUGAUGUUAAUUUUUUAAUGACUCAUUCGGCGCCUUACG
rnacentral:rRNA from 1 species